AUUGAACGCUGGCGGCAGGCUUAACACAUGCAAGUCGAGCGAGCGGCGGACGGGUGAGUAAUGUCUGGGAAACUGCCUGAUGGAGGGGGAUAACUACUGGAAACGGUAGCUAAUACCGCAUACCAUCAGAUGUGCCCAGAUGGGAUUAGCUAGUCGGUGGGGUAAUGGCUCACCUAGGCGACGAUCCCUAGCUGGUCUGAGAGGAUGACCAGCCACACUGGAACUUGUCAACGGUCCAGACUCCUACGGUAGGCAGCAGUGGGGAGUAUUGCACAAUGGGCGCAAGCCUGAUGCAGCCAUGCCGCGUGUGUGAAGAAGGCCGUCGGGUUGUAAAGCACUUUCAGCGAGGAGGCGUUACUCGCAGAAGAAGCACCGGCUAACUCCGUGCCAGCAGCCGCGGUAAUUC
rnacentral:rRNA from 1 species